UUUAUCUCUGGCGCUAACUCCCUUGCCCUCCUCCACUUUCGGCUCUGGCUCCGGCUCCAACUCCAACUCCAACUCCGGCUCCCUACCUCUUUCCUUCUCCACCUACGGCUUCCUACGUCUACCUCAACCCCGCCCCCCACAGCUCGCUUCCCCGCCCCAUCCCCUGCUCUUUGCCAUCGUUGCAACCUCAUUGCAGUACUACAUUCUCAAUCUGGAGGGUCCGUCUUGAAAAAUGGGCAAGGCCGAUUUUAUUUCAUUGCUGCAACCUCAUCGCAGGUGGCGGACCAAGUCUAUGAGGAAGGCUGUAACUUACUGAAAUUAAAACAGAUAAGAGCAGGGCUUCUCCAACAGUAUAUCCCAAGCUUAGAAAGUGAUUCGAAAAUAGAAUUCCAAAACAACCAUAGAAGGAUCGAUGGGAAAGGGAAAGGGGAACUUGUCAAUAGAGUUGCAGAGAAAGGGAAGGGAAGAGGACGACAAAGUAAAUCGCUUCACAAGAAAGAGAGAGAAAGAGAUCUGAGCAGUGGCAAGGUCAGUUGGUCGGUUGCAGGGGCAAGGAGAGAGAAAGAGAUGAAGAGAAAAGGCGUAGCCGUGGUUGACUGAAAGUUGGAGUCUUUCUUUUCAUCCAAGGGUUAAUAACCCUCUAGCAUUCCUGAUUCUAUUGUAACCUGCUAGCACAUCUAUACUUUCCCUAAAUAUAAAAAGUUUUUAGGAACAAAUAUGCACUCUAAAGUAGUCAAUUAAAUUUCUAA